UUAAAAGCGGUAUUAGAAUAUACCAACUUUGGGAGUUGGAGAUUAGUGGCAACUACUUUUAAA
rnacentral:tRNA from 1 species